rnacentral:rRNA from 1 species
GAUGAACGCUAGCGGCAGGCUUAAUACAUGCAAGUCGAACGGUGAGGUCUCUUCGGAGAUACACGAGUGGCGCACGGGUGCGUAACGCGUAUGCAACCUACCUUUAACUGGGAAAUAGCCCCGAGAAAUCGGGAUUAAUGUCCCAUAUUAUUCUUUGAAUACCUAUUCGAGGAAUGAAAGCUCCGGCGGUUAUUGAUGGGCAUGCGUGACAUUAGCUAGUUGGUGAGGUAACGGCUCACCAAGGCAACGAUGUCUAGGGGUCCUGAGAGGGUUAACCGCCACACUGGUACAGAGACACGGACCAGAAUCCUACGGGAGGCAGCAGUAAGGAAUAUUGGGCAAUGGCCGCAAGUCUGACCCAGCCCUGCCGGGUGAAGGAUGAAUGCCCUAUGGAUUGUAAACUUCUUUUAUGCAGGAAAAAUAUCCCGGUCGUGAACCGGGACUGAUGGUACUGUAUGAAUAAGCAUCGGCUAACUCCGUGCCAGCAGCCGCCGUAA